GGCUCAGAAGGAACGCUAGCUAUAUGCUUAACACAUGCAAGUCGAACGUUGUUUUCGGGGAGCUGGGCAGAAGGAAAAGAGGCUCCUAGCUAAAGUAGUCUCGCCCUGCUUCAAAACUACAGGGCCCCCGCUACGGCUUUGACCUAACCGCCUCCGUUUGCUGGAAUCGGAAUAGUUGAGAACAAAGUGGCGAACCGGUGCGUAACCGUGGGAAUCUGCCGAACAGUUCGGGCCAAAUCCUGAAGAANGCUCAAAANCCCUGUUUGAUGAGCCUGCGUAGUAUUAGGUAGUUGGUCGGGUAAAGGCUGACCAAGCCAAUGAUGCUUAGCUGG
rnacentral:rRNA from 1 species